GCUUGCAAAUAAGGGAGGUUUGGUAAAUCAGUUUCUUGAAUCAAUCUUGUUUUUCCUACCACGGAAUCGAUCUCUCCUCUCAAUCUUUCAAGAACAAUAAGGUUGUGCAUGAUCUCCGCCAUUGCCCACUGUGUUGUUUGCACCAAGGUGUCAGUGCUUGCAAAUAAGAGAUCCUGUAGUUACAAAAUGUUUUUUCUUAGGGAGAACAGUUAUGCAUUCUCACUAAAACCACCUGAUGAGAGGAACAUUUACCGAGAAGAACGACUUGAUAUGGUUCCUAGAAAUCUUAUACUCUGCAUUUUCAUCCCGAUACGCGGCCAACAAGGUGUCCAUCAAGUCCUCACCUUGAUGAUGCAUGCUUAGUUUCUCCUCGUGUUCCACAAGAAUCCUUUCAAGCAGCUCAUCAAAUCUGCAGGAAACAUCCAUCAUUUCCUUUUUAAACAGUGCGACAACAAGCUUUUUAAACCCCGCGCGCAACAUGUUUGCCAACAAAAUCUUCUUUGUCAAAGCAUCUAAAUCGGUAACCAAAGCCCUGACUCUCUCAGCCUCACCAUUCUCCUCUGAACAGCUCCUGCCCAUAAUCAUCUUGCAGAUGCUGUUGUUACCGAGCUUCAACACUUCCGCACAGAUCUCCACGCUCUCCUUCUUCAUCGCCUUAUCAAACAGGUUCUUGUAAAACCGAUCUAGCUCAUCUGCACGGACUCCUCGUGACCGCUCAAGUGCCUGGGGUCCAAGCAAGUUCGUAACCAGGAGCUUCUUCAUGAACUUCCAGUAAUCUCCAUAGGGAGCAGAGAUGAAGCUGAAACAUCCAGCAAAAAGAGCAUCAUCUGUCGGAGGGAAUCCACGAGACGAGAUGUUCACGUCAUGGGUCCUGAAGAUCUCAUAAGCAACUGAGGCUGAGGAGACGAGGACUACAGGGAAACUGAAGACCCGGAGAUAGAGAAUAGAUCCAUACUUGGUGGAGAGUUUCUGUAAGGAUCUAUGGAUUAGAACAGAGAGAAGAAGGUGAAGAUGACCGAUGACCGGAAGAGACGGAGGGCUCGGAGGUAAAUCAAAGUCAAGUCGAGGGUCCUUUGGUUUCCUGAAGAAAAGAGAGUAACAAAGUAGUGAGAAUAGGCAUAGGAGGAUACAAAUGAAGCAGUUUUGAAAGUCAGUGAAGAUCAUUUCUGCCAAAGUGAAAGAGGAAGAUGAGAAAGAGGAUUUUUGCUAAUCAAGAAUCACCCAUCUUAAUCUGAUGUACAUAUAACAUAAAAAUAUAAUGUAUUUUAUCCAUCGUGGUUACUAAAGUAGGACCAAGAUAGUUCACUAUUCUAUCAAAAGGCAUUGACUUUUGACAAAUAAAAAUUGAUAUCUACAAGAAUCUAAGACAGAUGUGUUGAUAAAGACCAUGUUACUGGAUUUGAUUUUGAUCCAACCAAAAAACAUAUCAUGCAUUACUUGAACUGUGGUCUACUCCAGAGCAGCAACAUCAAGUUCCUAGGAUAGAAAGAAGCCAAAACAUUGGAACAAACAAGAAUAAUGGAAGACAUAUCAAUAUAGAGUACCUUGACCAUCUCUAGUGUCACCGCAGAUAAAGUUGUUAGCUGAUGUUCCCCCCAGCAUUCAUGAAUUCACAUAGCUGAUCACUUUGAUCAGCUUUAUAGAAAGUAACUUGAUGCUGAAAACGGUAGUGAACAUUUCAAGGACUCUAAAUCCCAAAUCCACCUUCUUGUGUUUGGGAAGCCCAUGUAGAUUAACUUGAACAAUAACUCUUGGAGAAAUCAGCUUCCGAGACACCAUUUUCUCUCUCUCUCUGUCUCUCUCUUUUAAAUGCUAUCAGAAACCAGAUUCACAAUUUUCAAGUAAAAGAAAGAAGAAAAAUUUAUGAAUCAAUACACAAUGCUUAUAAUUGAAUAGAUAAGCCCAGAAUUUUCAAUCUCUUCCUUUGUUUAUCUCACAAAAUCGAAACGCACAAUACAUAAAAUAUCACAAUGCUUACCGACUUCUUCUAGAGAACACUACGCUCCCCCCAAGACCAACCAACCAUAAAGACUACUUGAAAUCUCUGUAAUUUUUCCUUCAUCACCCCAAUAUAUAUACUCCGUAAGAGAAAAAAAAGCCCUUUCAUCAAAAUUACAAAACCCUUCACAUUUGAACCUUUCUUCCUUCUGGGCAAUCAACGUCACAGACUCUCACAUAAAGCAGAGAUCAAAAACUUUUCUCAAAUCUAUCGCCUGAUACGGAGACAGAACAAAAUCAGAAACUGAUUGAACCAGUGAGGUCGGUGAAUAUGAACCGAUAUAUGACUUAAACCGAAGAGCUGUACACAAUUAUUUAUGGUUUUACAUAAUAAACCAAACUUAACCAAACAAAACCGGGAAACUGAACACGGAAAAACAGACAAAGCAGCGCAAGCGUCCUUGACCAUGAGGCCAUGACUAUUCAAAUCUUACAGGAAGUUCGUUCACUGACAGCGAUUCGAAGUUAAAGGGUUUGAGGAUCGAGAAAGAGGAGUGAUCUUAAGAGGAUGCGCCAUGGUCAAACUCAGUCCUACAACAGUCUCUUCCAUGUUGAUUUUCUCAUCAUUGAUUCUCCACUCAAAUCCCUGCACCAUCACUCCAAUUGCAGUUCCCAUAAUGACAUAAGCUAGAUUCUCUCCAGGGCAGCUUCUCCUCCCGCUUCCAAAAGGAAUGAACUUAAUCGCCUUCUCUCUUCUCUCCUCCUCUUGCUCUGAUCUCGAAGCAGAUGCUAAAAACCUCUCUGGCUUAAACACAAGAGGAUCUUCCCAAGUAUCAGGAUCUCUCAUCACAGCAUAAGCAUUUACAACAAGUGAUGUCUCCUCCGGUACGUAAAACCCUCCGAUCAUACACCCUUCUUUAGAGAACCUUACAAAGAAAGGUCCCGGCGGGUGCAGUCUUAUCGUUUCUUUAACAACCGCUUGCAAAUAAGGGAGGUUUGGUAAUUCCGUUUCUUCAAUCAACCUUUUUUGUCCUACCACGCAAUCGAUUUCUCCUCUCAGUCUCUCAAGAACGUUACGGUUUUUUAUGAUCUCUGUCAUUGCCCACUGUGUUGUUUUCACCGAGUUAUCAGUACCUGCAAAUAAAAGAUCCUGCAAGUUGCAAAACGUUUUAUCUUAUAAGCAGAACACUUUUGAUUCUCAAUGAAACUACUACUUGAUGGGACGAGCAUUUACCGCGAUAACCGACUUGAUAUGGUUCCUUGUGAUCAUAUACUCUGCAUUUUCAUUACGAUGAGCUUCCAACAACGCGUCCAUCAAGUCCGUACCUUGAUGAUGCUCGUCUAGUUUCUUUUCGUGUUCUACAAGAAUCCUUUCGAGCAGCUCACUGAAUCUGUCGGAAACUACCUUUGUUUCCUUACUAAACAGUGAGACAACAAGCUUCUUAAACCCCGCACGCAACGUGUUUGCAAAGAAAAGCUUUUUUGUCAAAACAUCUAACUCGGUAGCCAAAGCCUUGAAACUCUCUUCUGAACAACUUCUCCCCAUGAUCAUCUUGCUGAUGGUGUAGUUAGUGAGCGUCAAAGUUUCAUUACUGAUCUCCACGCUCUCCUUAUUCAUGGCUUUGUCGAAGAUGUUCAUAUAAUACCGCUCUAGCUCAUCUGCACGGACACCACGUGACCUCUCGUGCGCUUGAGGUCCAAGAAAGUUUGUUACCAGGACCUUCUUCAUGAACUUCCAGUAAUCUCCAUAGGGAGCGGAGAUGAAGCUGAAAGCUCCGGCAAAAAGGGCAUCAUCGGUCGGAGUGAAGCCACGAUACGAAUUAUUCACGUCGUGCGUCCUGAAGAUCUCAUAAGCAACUGAGGCUGAGGAGACGAGGACUACAGGGAAACUGAAGACGCGGAGAUAGAGAAUAGGUCCGUACUUGGAGGAGAGUUUCUGUAAAGAUCUGUGGAUUAGAACAGAGAGGAGAAGGUGAAGAUGACCGAUGAUCGGAAGAGAGGGAGGACUCGGUGGCAGAUCAAAGCCACCACGUCUUGACCCGCUUGGUUUCUUGAAAAAGAGAUAGUAACAGAGGAGUGAGAAGAGACAUAAGAGGAUGAAGAUGAAACAGUUUUGAAAGCCAACGCUGAUAAACGCUGCCAUUAUUGCUCCGAAGUGAAGAAAGAGGCAAAAAUUACAAAGAGAAAUGAGCUUAUAAAGAAUCCACGAAUUUGAUAUGAGGGCAUGAUUUGUUUACUAUAGAACAAGACAAGUUCUUCCUUUUUCGAAAAUCUUGGAAGUGUAAUGGAAAUUGGCAAUAAUCUCUCUUUGCUAAGAAAGUAAAUGUCACAAAAUUCAUAGGAUGAAAGUUUAGGUUUUUACAUAGUUUAAGACCUAGGGUGUACAUAGUGCUCAUGGCCUAAAGUAAAAAGUGAAACUUUAUCGAGAAUCUAUGAAUAUUAAUGUAUAAAGUAAAACUGAAUCAUAUAUCAAGUGUCAUUUUUAAGAAAAGAGUAAAACUAAAUCAAUUUCUUCACUUUUGAAAAAUGACACUUGGUAUAUGAUUGAAUGCUUAAAGAAAUUAUUAGACAAGAGCUUUACACUAUGUAGUAUAUGAAUUACAAGAGUGAUAAAGGCACCUUUUAAUUAAUGUACAAUAUAUAAUAGCUUUCAUUCACAUAAUCAUUUGGUUUAGAUUGGUUUUGUUGAUUUUCUUUUUUGUUUAACCACUAUACAAUUAGAUUGUAUAAUCUUUUGGCUUCCAUUGUAUGGCCAUGCUUUGUUUAUUAAUUACUAGAAGAAAAGUUUUUCUUUUUCUUUUGGAAAAUCUAGAAGUUGAAGGUAAAAAGCAAAAUUUCACAUCGUUGCAAAUAGGAGAAGAACGAAAUCGACCUUAAAAGUCGCGACUUAAACUCGGAGAACAAUAGUUUUUACGGUUUCACACAAAAAACCAAAAGUAACCAACUAAACAGAAUUCAUGAACUCACGAACUGAAAUUCUGCAGAUUCGAAUUUAAAGGUUGCAUUCGAGCAACAGGAGUACACCUAAGAGGAUGAGCCAUGUUUAUGGUCAUUCCAGCAACAGUCUCUUCCAUGUUAACCUUGUCUUCUUUGAUUCUCCAGUCAAAGCAAUGCACCAUCAUUCCUAUUGCGGUUCCUACAAAUAUAUAACCUAUAUUUUCUCCAGGGCAUCCUCUUCUUCCGCUGCCAAAAGGAAGGUACUUUAGGGUUUGCUCUCUCUCCUCUUCUGGUCCUCUUGAAGAAGCUAGAAACCUCUCUGGCUUAAACUCAUCCGGAUCUUCCCAAGAACUAGGAUCUCUCAUCACGGCAUAAGCGUUAACUACAAGAGUUGUGUUCUUUGGUACGUAAAAGCCUCCAAUCAUACAUUCCCUUAUGACUUUCCUUCCCAAGAGAGGCCCUGGUGGGUGCAAUCUUAGCCCUUCCUUGAUGACCGCUUGCAAAUAAGGGAGGUCUGGUAGAUCCUUCUCCUGAAUCAACCUUGUUUUACCUACAACGGAAUCAAUUUCGUUUCUCAAUCUCUCAAGGAUGUUAGGCUUAUUAAUGAUCUCUGCCAUUGUCCACUCAAUUGUUUGCACUGAGGUGUCAGUGCCUCCAAGGAUAAGCUCCUGUUGUCAGAAUACUCAGAAAAAUCAAUGAUGUUGUAUUGGAUUCUCAAAUGAAUGCACUUACUAAAAAAGAAAAUUUAC
rnacentral:lncRNA from 1 species